rnacentral:misc_RNA from 1 species
AUUGUUUUGGUCAUCCUGAUGUGAUAGGGAAGAUUGGAACAGAUAUUGAAGAUUUCAAGUGCUCCUGGUUGGUUGUAAAAGCACUAGAACUAAGUGAUGAAAAACAGAAGACUUUGCUACAUGAGAACUAUGGGAAAGCAGAUAAGGAUUGUGUUGCCAAAGUUAAAGAGUUAUAUAAAGCCCUCAAUCUAGAGGGUGUAUUUGCCGAGUACGAGAGCAAAAGUUACGAGAAGCUUCUAAAAUCCAUAGAAGUUCAUCCAAGUGAAGCAGUACAAGCAGUGUUGAAAUCUUUCCUUGCAAAGAUAUACAAGAGGCAGAAAUAGAGAACGAAAAAAAGAUGGACAUCGUCGACCGAGAACCGUCAAUCCG